rnacentral:sRNA from 1 species
UGAUGACUAAUCUGAAAUCAACAGCACCUCAUUUUGUGAGAUGCAUAAAUCCCAAUGUGAACAAAAUACCAGGUAUACUGGACCCUUACUUGGUUCUACAGCAGUUGCGCUGUAAUGGUGUCUUGGAAGGGAUUAGGAUAUGCCGUGAAGGUUUUCCAAACCGACUGCAGUAUGCUGAUUUUAAACAAAGGUACUGCAUUCUGAAUCCAAGGACCUUUCCAAAGAGCAAGUUUGUGAGCAGCAGAAAAGCAGCUGAAGAAUUACUUGGCUCCUUGGAGAUAGACCAUACCCAGUACCGAUUUGGAAUCACUAAGGUGUUUUUUAAAGCUGGGUUUCUGGGCCAACUGGAAGCAAUAAGAGAUGAGAGACUAUCUAAAGUCUUCACAUUGUUCCAAGCCAGAGCACAGGGCAAACUGAUGCGAAUCAAAUUCCAGAAGAUUCUGGAAGAAAGGGAUGCACUUAUUUUGAUCCAAUGGAACAUAAGAGCUUUCAUGGCUGUGAAGAACUGGCCCUGGAUGAGGCUCUUCUUCAAGAUCAAGCCUCUUGUUAAAUCUUCAGAAGUAGGAGAAGAAAUAGCUGGACUGAAGGAAGAGUGUGCACAAUUACAGAAAGCCUUGGAGAAAUCAGAGUUUCAGAGGGAGGAACUGAAAGCAAAGCAAGUAUCCCUCACUCAGGAAAAAAAUGACCUGAUUCUUCAGCUUCAGGCUGAGCAAGAGACACUGGCAAAUGUUGAAGAGCAGUGCGAGUGGCUGAUUAAAUCCAAGAUCCAGCUGGAGGCCAGAGUAAAGGAGCUGUCGGAGAGGGUGGAGGAAGAAGAGGAGAUAAAUUCUGAGCUGACUGCCAGGGGGCGGAAACUCGAAGAUGAAUGUUUUGAGUUGAAGAAAGAAAUCGAUGACCUGGAAACAAUGUUGGUGAAGUCAGAGAAGGAGAAGCGUACUACAGAGCACAAGGUCAAGAACUUGACUGAGGAAGUAGAGUUUCUAAAUGAGGAUAUCAGCAAACUUAACAGAGCAGCCAAGGUUGUGCAGGAGGCCCAUCAGCAGACCCUGGAUGACCUGCACAUGGAGGAGGAGAAGCUCAGCAGCCUGAGCAAAGCAAAUCUGAAGCUGGAACAGCAAGUUGAUGAGCUUGAGGGUGCCCUUGAGCAGGAGAGAAAAGCGAGAAUGAACUGUGAAAGGGAACUGCACAAACUGGAGGGCAAUUUAAAGCUGAAUCGGGAAAGUAUGGAGAACCUGGAAAGCAGCCAGCGACACCUGGCAGAAGAGCUGAGGAAAAAAGAAUUAGAAAUGAGUCAGAUGAAUUCAAAAGUGGAGAAUGAGAAAGGCCUGGUAGCUCAGCUUCAGAAGACGGUUAAAGAGCUUCAGACUCAAAUAAAGGAUUUGAAAGAGAAACUAGAAGCUGAAAGGACCACUCGAGCCAAGUUGGAAAGGGAGAGAGCUGACCUCACCCAAGACCUGGCUGACUUGAAUGAGAGGCUGGAGGAGGUAGGAGGAUCCAGUUUGGCUCAGCUGGAAAUAACUAAGAAACAGGAAACCAAAUUCCAGAAGCUGCGCCGAGACAUGGAAGAGGCCACUCUACACUUUGAGGCAACUUCUGCAUCUUUGAAGAAGAGACAUGCAGACAGCCUGGCUGAGCUCGAGGGCCAGGUAGAAAAUCUACAGCAGGUCAAGCAGAAACUGGAAAAAGACAAGAGUGACUUGCAGCUAGAAGUAGAUGACCUCCUGACCCGUGUUGAGCAGAUGACAAGAGCUAAGGCAAAUGCUGAGAAACUCUGUACUCUAUAUGAAGAGCGCUUGCAUGAAGCAACUGCAAAGCUAGAUAAGGUGACUCAGUUGGCAAAUGACCUGGCAGCACAAAAGACAAAGCUGUGGAGUGAGAGUGGUGAGUUCCUACGAAGGCUUGAAGAGAAGGAGGCUCUGAUAAACCAACUUUCCAGGGAAAAGAGCAACUUCACUCGGCAGAUUGAAGACCUAAGAGGGCAGCUGGAAAAGGAGACCAAAUCCCAGAGUGCCCUGGCCCAUGCCCUGCAGAAGGCUCAGCGUGACUGUGACCUUCUACGAGAGCAGUAUGAGGAAGAACAAGAGGUCAAGGCUGAGCUGCACCGGACCUUAUCCAAAGUCAAUGCUGAAAUGGUGCAAUGGAGAAUGAAGUAUGAAAACAAUGUCAUCCAGAGAACAGAAGACUUGGAGGAUGCCAAGAAGGAACUGGCAAUUAGAUUGCAGGAGGCAGCCGAAGCCAUGGGGGUGGCCAAUGCCAGAAAUGCCUCCUUGGAGAGAGCCAGGCACCAGCUGCAGCUGGAGCUCGGGGACGCCCUGUCUGACCUCGGGAAGGUCCGCUCUGCAGCAGCCAGGCUGGACCAGAAGCAGCUGCAGUCUGGCAAGGCCCUUGCCGACUGGAAGCAGAAGCACGAGGAGUCCCAGGCGUUGCUGGAUGCCUCUCAGAAGGAAAUUCAGGCUCUCAGUACAGAGCUCCUCAAGCUCAAGAACACCUAUGAGGAGAGCAUCGUGGGCCAGGAGACACUCAGGAGGGAGAACAAGAACCUCCAAGAAGAGAUUUCUAAUCUGACAAACCAGGUUAGAGAAGGGACCAAGAACUUAACUGAAAUGGAAAAGGUCAAGAAACUAAUUGAAGAAGAGAAGACAGAAGUCCAGGUGACACUGGAAGAAACAGAGGGAGCCCUGGAACGUAAUGAAAGCAAGAUUCUUCGUUUCCAGCUUGAACUCUUGGAAGCUAAAGCAGAACUUGAAAGAAAGCUUUCAGAGAAAGAUGAAGAAAUAGAAAAUUUUAGGUAUUUAAGAUGAUUUUGAUGUGUAACAAUUAUGUAUUUCUGAAUCCUUGACUAAACAGAGCUCAUUAUGUCUGGCUGCUUUUAUGGCCCCUGUUGGAGCAUUACCAAAGAAACUUAGUGUAACUCUAUAUUAUUUUCUUUUAUAUACAAUAUCUAUAAUCGUGUAUAGAUAUUCCUUUAUACACAAUUAGAUAUCCUUUUAUACACAAUUGUGUAUAGAUAUUCUUUAUACACAAUUAGAUAUCCCUUUAUACACAAUUGUGUACAGGUAUUCCUUUAUAUCAAUAGUGGUGAGCUUACUAGCUAUCUAUAUACGAUUAUUGCCAGAUUUUAUAAUUUUCUUAUAUUUGAGGAGCUUCUACUGUCAUGUGAGACUCAAGAUAACACCAAAUAAAUGAUUAUAUGUAUAAGGACUGUG